GGAGGGGCCGGCUGGUCACGGACACGCCGCUGGAAACGGCGUAGGGGUCACACCCUCGCGGGUUCGAAUCCCGCUCCCUCCGC
rnacentral:tRNA from 1 species